rnacentral:lncRNA from 1 species
UGAGGUAUUAAAGUAAGCAUCCACAACUCACGAAAUCCUGCAAGAUAGGAUAAUUUUGAAUCAGUGAUUAGGUCUUAUCUGACCAAUUCUUGGAAACUACCAGCUUUAGCAGUAUUUUGGAGAAUCUAAAACCUUAGCUUGUGUAUGGUCCAGAUAUCACCAAGCACCCAAGUAUAAAUAAGCCUUACAACUCUCUAACAGAAACUUAAUGACUUCAACUUAAGUUGCAUACUGACUUAGGAUUUGGGCUGACUUAGUAAUUAAAACUUUGUGUGCUUUUGAAAUUAUUGGCACUUAUGCAUUUGAAAUUAGAUUUCAUAAAACGAUAAAAUAAAUUCUUUGGGUAGAGACAACAGUUUGUGGGUAUCUGAGCCGAAAACCCUCACGAGACAAAACUCGUCCACUAGGGCCACCUAGGGGUUUAAAGCCUUAUUGCAUACGGUAAAUGCAAUCACGAUUCCUGCGAAAGUGAGUUUGUUUUUUUUUCGCUCGAGGACUAGCAAAAUGUAGGUUGGGGGUGUGAUAAGUGCUAAAUAAUGCAUAAAUUAAUAUCUUAUUUAUAGCACUUAUCAUUAAUUUAAUUCACAUAUUUUGUAAAUUUAACUAAAAAAAUGUAUUAUCACCACAUUUUAAAGGUAAUUCAAGUUUGAUUUGAUUAUUUAUUGAUUAAGCUUAAUGCAUGCAGGUCGAGUCGAGCUCAAUUAGGUAAAGCCUAAACGGACACUACAUCAUUUCACAAUUUCACAUUCUCCUGAGUCGACUCCAAGAACUCUUCUCCAAAAUCCAGUGCUUUCCAAGUUCACCUAAAUUUCGUCCCACUCAUUCCAAUUCUCCUGUUUUAACAUUAAAAAUAAUACAAUCCCUUCAAUCAAUUGUUUCUCAGAUCUCAAAGCAUACUAUCUUAGUUGCACAGAUUGCAAAGCCUCACCCCUUCAAUCCAUUUCAACUUCCCACGAAUAAUCCCAGAUCUCCUCCCAGCCAUUCCGCUUCCCUCCCAGCUUCAUCCCGGAUCUUAGUUCAUCCUCCCGUGAUCCACUCAUCUCCCAGCUGCAUCCAUUUGAUUCCAGCUCCAUCCUUGCGAGUUUCACGGCAUCCAAACAUCCCCUGUUUCUCCACGACCAGGCUUCUUCCACGUCCACCAGCGAGGGAUUCUUCCCAGCCAAAGGAAAUCAAACAUCGAACUGAGCCAUAUCUAAGCACCUUCAUUCCGUUUUACUCCCAGCGUCUGCAUAUCCAUGGGAUAAACUCAAAUCCCAGCUUCUCUUCCGGUUUGAUCCCAUGAAAUCGCUAACGUCUCAGCUCAUCUUCCCACGCGUCCGGCUUCACGCGUCUUCUCCUUUGAUCCGAACCACAGCAGUCCAUGAAUCAGGCCAAGCUUCAUCCCAACGGCAAAGGGUUCAUCCUUAUCUACAUUCGAAACAGAGGAGGGGAGUCGCAGCCUAUAAAAG